GCGCGAAAACUUUACAAUGCGGGAAACCGUGAUAAGGGAAUCUCGAGUGCCAGCAUAUAAUGUUGGCUGUCCAGAUGCCUAAAAAGCAUCUGUUAGCAAGGGCCGGGCAAGACCGGUGCCAGCCGCCGCGGUAACACCGGCGGCCCGAGUGGUAACCGCUAUUAUUGGGUCUAAAGGGUCUGUAGCCGGCCAGGUAAGUCCCUUGGGAAAUCUGGCAGCUCAACUGUCAGGCUGCUAGGGGAUACUGUUUGGCUUGGGACCGGGAGAGGUGAGAGGUACCUUGGGGGUAGGGGUGAAAUCUUGUGAUCCUCGGGGGACCACCAGUGGCGAAGGCGUCUCACCAGAACGGGUCCGACGGUAAGGGACGAAAGCUAGGGGCACGAACCGGAUUAGAUACCCGGGUAGUCCUAGCCGUAAACGAUGCUCGCUAGGUGUCAGUCACGGUGCGACCGUGAUUGGUGCCGUAGGGAAGCCGUGAAGCGAGCCACCUGGGAAGUAUGGCCGCAAGGCUGAAACUUAAAGGAAUUGGCGGGGGAGCACUACAACGGGUGGAGCCUGCGGUUUAAUUGGAUUCAACGCCGGAAAUCUCACCGGGGGCGACAGCAAUAUGAAGGUCAGGCUGAAGACCUUACCCGAUUAGCU
rnacentral:rRNA from 1 species